rnacentral:rRNA from 1 species
CACGUAGGGGGCAAGCGUUGUCCGGAAUCAUUGGGCGUAAAGAGCUCGUAGGCGGCUCAGUAAGUCGGGUGUGAAACCUCCAGGCUCAACCUGGAGACGCCACCCGAUACUGCUGUGGCUAGAGUCCAGUAGGGGAGUGUGGAAUUCCCGGUGUAGCGGUGAAAUGCGCAGAUAUCAGGAGGAACACCGGUGGCGAAGGCGGUUCUCUGGGCAUGUCCUGACGCUGAGGAGCGAAAGUGUGGGGAGCGAACAGG